rnacentral:rRNA from 1 species
CAGUCGCCACGGGAAUACGAAGGGGGCUAGCGUUGCUCGGAAUUACUGGGCGUAAAGGGCGCGUAGGCGGACAGUUAAGUCGGGGGUGAAAGCCCGGGGCUCAACCUCGGAAUUGCCUUCGAAACUGGCUGUCUUGAGUACGGGAGAGGUGAGUGGAACUCCGAGUGUAGAGGUGAAAUUCGUAGAUAUUCGGAAGAACACCAGUGGCGAAGGCGACUCACUGGCCCGUUACUGACGCUGAGGCGCGAAAGCGUGGGGAGCAAACAGGAUUAGAUACCCCUGUAGUCCCUGUCUCUUAUAC